GCAAAACCGUUGAGAAAGAGUAGUAGAUUAUCUGAUGACAUUACAGAGAGCGAUGGGUGGUGGAACAUCGUAUGGAAUGGAUAAUUGAAUGGCCUUUCGAGGGCAGUCUGAAAUCUUUGAGAGUAGGGCUUGUCGGGAACCGAACCCGUUAUCAAUCAGGAGUGUAUGUUAGUACAUGAGAAAAGUGGACGAUUCGUCAAGUUGAGUGGUACCGCGAUAAUAUUUCAGAAUAAUAUUACCGCCUCAAAC
rnacentral:ncRNA from 1 species